rnacentral:rRNA from 1 species
UACGAAGGGGGCUAGCGUUGUUCGGAAUUACUGGGCGUAAAGCGCACGUAGGCGGAUAUGUAAGUCAGGGGUGAAAUCCCGGGGCUCAACCUCGGAACUGCCUUUGAUACUGCAAAUCUUGAGUCCGGAAGAGGUGAGUGGAAUUCCUAGUGUAGAGGUGAAAUUCGUAGAUAUUAGGAAGAACACCAGUGGCGGAAGGCGGCUCACUGGUCCGGUACUGACGCUGAGGUGCGAAAGCGUGGGGAGCAAACAGG